ACGAAAAUUCGGUCUAAAAAGGUAAUCGAAUAAUUAUUACGGUGGGAUUACGAUGUGUUCUGUAUCGCGGAUAGAAACGGAUCAAUAUUUUUUGAAUAUUAUCGAUAGUUUACUUGCGGAAAGUAAUUUUACGUAUGCGAUAUAUUUUGUGGACAGAAACGCGUCAUUAAGAGGGGACUACGAUGUGUUAUGUAUCGCCAGUGGAAACGCCAUCAGUAUUUUCCGAAUAUCAUCGAUGGUUUGUGCGGGAAGUAACCUUGUCUACGGUUUCUGCGGACGGGAGUAUCAUACGGGAAUCUCAUACAGGAAUAUCAUACACGGGAAUCGUUAUAAGAUUGAGUUUCCAGGGGGGAAGGAGGGCGAGACUCUAAUUAAUCUCUGUUUAGAGUUUGUUAAAAAU